rnacentral:piRNA from 1 species
UGCUCUUAAGUAUGUGUCGAUGAGUUUGG